CCCAAAUAGGCUGGGCCUCCACCUCCGAAGAGUCAUCCCUGGGCCAGACACGAGCCAAGGCAAGAGUGAUGGUGGGUAGAAUUCCUCCCUGCACUGGAGAACAAUGAGCCCCAGAGAGGAGUCUUUCUGAGAAGCAGAGAAGGGAUGGUGAUCUGCUCCCAGAACUGAGCUUCCCAACAGACAGAAGACAGAGAUUCCCCAGGCUGGAGACAUUUUCUCAAGACGUGGGGAUAGGAGAAAAGGCCAGCCAGCCUCUAGCCACAGGCCUCCAAGCUGCAGAGAGCCAACGCCAACAGCACCAGGUGCUUUCCUUCCUCCUCAGCCUUCUGUGCCCUGCCAGGAGGGCAGAGGUGGUGCUGGGUCUGCUGAAUGAGCCAGCACUGCUAUGAGACCCUGUCGCAAGCCCAGAGGACUAAGAAAUCGAGCAUGGAGGUUAA